rnacentral:lncRNA from 1 species
AGCGGCGGCUGGCGGGCGGCCGCCCUUUUAAAUCCCCGGGCUCAUUUGCAUGGCCCCGCCCCCUGAGUGACACGGCUGGCGCGGGCGGGCCCGUCCCCCCUGCCCCUGGGUCGCUCUUUUUAAGCUCCCCUGAGCCGGUGCUGCGCUCCUCUAAUUGGGACUCCGAGCCGGGGCUAUUUCUGGCGCUGGCGCGGCUCCAAGAAGGCAUCCGCAUUUGCUACCAGCAGCGGCCGCGGCGGAGCCAGGCCGGUCCUCAGCGCCCAGCACCGCCGCUCCCGGCAACCCGGA